rnacentral:ncRNA from 2 species
UCGUCAGGAUCGGGAGAAGCUAGCGCAGUCAUUUGGCAAACGCUGGUGCCGAAGGAGCAACCGCCCCGGUAAACUCUCAGGCAAACGGGACCAUCCUGACAA